GGGAGGCAAUCAUGAGCCCUGAGGGCUUGGAAUGAAGCAUACAAAAUGAUGCAGCCAAAACCAAACCCAACUAGGCCCCAAAAAAGGGAAAUUCCAUGUUAUUGAGGUUCUUUGAGUUAAUCUAAUUUCAAUAGAAACUUGGGCAAACUGUUGUAUUGAUUCUCAAAACAUUCCUUUAUGUUAGUUUCUGGUGCAUUUAUCAUUCUC
rnacentral:lncRNA from 1 species